GACCGUUGGAUCGAACUCAAACUUACGUAGUUGUACCUUUGUGUUUCUAGGAUCGUUUAGGAUUCGACCGAUCGUUGAUCGGAGUCCCGGAUACUUCGAAAUUCCAAACCCUAGGUCAUGCUAUGCUUUUAAUUAAUUAGUUUAAAUUCUUAAUGAAAUUAUAUGUGCAGAUGUAAGAUUUGAUUAGACGUGGUAGGUCGAUGAUGACUGCACCGAGUUCGGAUCCCCC
rnacentral:lncRNA from 1 species